CUCAUCGAAAGGCCACAAACGGCAGCCUUUGGGCCAAAUGUGAUGUGUUUUGUUUGGUCCAUAAUUGAAUCAGUUGUCUGCAUUUAAGCAGUUCAAGUCCCAGCGAGUUCCCGUGCAGCCAUGUCCCAACUCCAGCCGCCUCUUCAGCUCGCCAUGGAUUCCAACUGCUCCUGCGCCCCGGUGACUCCUGCAUCUGGGCCACCGGCUCCUGCAAGUGCAAAGAGUGCAAAUGCACCUCCUGCAAGAAAAGCUGCUGCUCCUGCUGCCCUGUGGGCUGUGCCAAGCGUGCCCAGGGCUGCAUCUGCAAAGGGGCGUCGGACAAGCGCAGCUGCUGUGCCUGAUGCCUGUUCCCAGAUGUAAAUAACGAUCCCUGUGCCCAGACGUAAAUAAUGCAACCUCUAUAAACCUGGGUUCUUUUUGUUUGUACAACUCUGACCCGUUUGCUACACUCCUUUUUCUAUGAAAUAAUGUGAAUAAUAAAACAGCUCACAUUUUGUAAAAGUCCAGAUUCCUGAUUACUGCUGGGCAACUGGAAGAUCUGUGGACCCUACACAGCCAGCAUUUCUCCGUGGCAGCACAAAAAGCUGAGCAGUGAUCGUGCCCUCUGCACGGGUAGUCCCCAGUUUCCCACAGUCCCUGCCUGGCCUCUUCUAAUUCAUUUACAUAAUCUGUCUGGACUCAGUUGGAAGCUUUUGAGUUUAAAGCCCUUGCUAAGCCAACCUGUUAAUUUUUUUUUUUUUUUUUUUUUAGAUGGAGUUUUGCUCUUGUUACCCAGCUGGAGUGCAAUGGGGCGAUCUUGGUUCACUGCAACCUCCUCCUGAGUUCAAGCAAUUCUCCUGCCUCCGCCUCCCCAAUAGCUGGGACUACAGGUGCACGCCACCGUGCCCUGCUAAUUUUUAUUUUUAGUAGCGAUGGGGUUUCAUCUUGUUGACCAGGAUGGUCUCGAUCUCCUGACCUUGUGAUCUACCCGCCUCGGCCUCCCAAAGUGCUGGAAUUAUAGGCUUGAGCCACCGCGCCCGGCCCCAUUUUUCUAGAUAAGAAAGUGAGGUCCCAAGAAGCCCAGGGACUCGCCCAGCCAUACGACUUUUUCUAAUACAACGGGUGGGGGUGUCGUUUCCAUACAUUCAUUUUUCCAUCCCAUGCUUUGCCACUUAAAUGGUGAGGUUUGUUUAGCAAAGGAAAAGAGAUUUAGAAAGGAAAUGUAAGUGGUGAGGUUAAAGUCUGAAGAAACUACGUUGCAAGCGGGAAAAGACAAAGGUGACGUUAAUAAGAGGGUAAUUUAGAGGCUCACUAACGAACUCAAGAGGCUUCAAUAGGAGAUUGUUAAUGGGAGGAAGUGGAAGGCAGAGAGAGGUUACGUGUGUAAUAAGAACAAACGAGAGAAGCACGGGCUAAGGGAAGAUGAGGAGAGACGGUAAAACAGACACUGAAUUGAUCCGCUCCCAUACAGAGAAAACGCAGCAGUUGACGGAAAGGACACUGGAAAAAUAAAUUUCACAGUAAAAAUUGAACAGAGAAAAAAUUAGAAAUUAUAGGCUGGGCACGGUGGCUCACGCCUGUAAUCCCAGCACUCUGGGAGGCCGAGGUGGGCGAAUCACAAGGUCAGGAUGUCGAGACCACCCUGGCCAACAUGAUGAAACCCCAUCUCUACUAAAAAUACAAAAAAAUUAGCUGGGUAGGGUGGCAGGCACCUGUAAUUCCAGCUACUUGGGAGGCUGAGGCAGGAAAAUUGCUUGAACCCAGGAGGCAGAGUUUGCAAUGAGCCAAGAUCAUGCCACUGCACUCCAGCCUGGUGAUAAGAGACUCCAUCUGAAAAAAAAAUUUUUUUUAAUUAGAAAUUAUAAAAGAUGUCUUAUUCAGAUUUAUUUAUUUGAGGAAAAAAAGAGGUGGAGAAAAGAAGAGGCAGCUUCUCAAGAUUGCCUGAGAUAUUAUUAACAAUAAAAAAAAGUAAACAAAAAACAAUUUCAAAGGAGAGCUUCACCAACAGAAGAGAAUAAUAAUUUAAAAAUUAAAAAACAAUUAUCUGGGGGAAAAAGCUCCACAAGGAAAAAAUAAUUCUUCCUGAAAUGAAGCAUACUAAAAUAUGCAACCCCAAAAUAUGUCAUUUUGGCACAUAGGUUAUUUGGAGCUGAAGGCAAUAGAGAACCAGCAGACCAAGUAAAAGCUCUUUACCUCCCCCUAAUCACCUAACACAAACUAUAAAGUUCCCCUUUUGUACAGAAAAUUUACAUUUAUAAAGGAAAUUUCCAUUUGUAAGGGAAGAGAGCUGCUCCUGGAAACAGUAGCUACCCCUGAGAGACAUACCUGCAUAACAACACAACCCUUAUUUACUACGCAUUUCAUCCCCACACCUUCCCAGAACUUUCCUCCUUCCCUCAGCAGCCCAAACUCCUUUCUCUCUGCUCAGCCUAAGAUGGUCCAGAAGCUUCAAUCGUCUGGCUGCCUCCUUGAGCCUCAGUUCGUUGUGAAACUUCCGUGCAGAGGCUGUACAGGAAGCAUAGCUGUUUCUGCUUCUGGGGAGGCCUCUCAGGAAGCUUACAAUCAUGGCAGAAGGUGAAGGGGAAGAGAGACUAAAAAAUAUUUGAGUUUGUUAGUCAACAUAGUCUUCUUGCUACACUGAAAAAGGAUACUGUGAGGAAGCAUGUGGCUCUGGAAAUUGUGAAAGGGUGUAUUCAUAAAUGCGCUCAUCCGCAGAAUGCUUCUAUGUAUAACAGCUCACAAUUGCCUACUUCCUUGUUUUCACUGGAAAUUAAGAUCUCUUAUCUUGCAACACCUAAUCCGAAUCUCUCUCAACAGCUACAAACUUGGCUUUUGAUAUAUGAAACCUCCUGAGAAGAAGAAAGUUUCAAAGGGUGGGAUAAAGAGUUCCAGAAUAUGCCACCCGACAUAUGGACUAUUUUGAGCUAAAAGCAAUUGAGAACCAGCACACACAGGAAAGGCUCUUCACCCAUCCUCUUACUGCCUAAAAGCAGAAUAUAAAUUUCCCCUUCUGUAAAGGAAAUUUACAUUUAUAAAGGAAAUUUCUCUUCGUGAAGAUUCCUCUGCACCAGAAACAGGGCUAGGCCUGGAGAUAACCCAUCACCUGAGACACUCUUAUCUACAUAACUCUUAUUUACAUACGAGUAUACAUUUCUCGCCUCACUUUCUCAGGACUUGUCCUCUGAGAAGCCCCAAACCCCUUUCUCUUUGUUUAGCCUAAGAUGGUAUAUAAGCCUCAAUCUGGAUCUCCUUGAGUCUCUUUUUUUAGUGAUACUCCCAUGUGUAUGUACAAAAUUAAAUUGUAUUUUCCUCUUGUUAA